UUCAGGAAGUCGACGGAGUGACCGGGGAAUCUUCAUCUGAGGCAGCAAAGACGGAGUCGGAUGUUUCGGUGCAACCGGUGUCGCCAAUCCUGGUCUUACUGAAGAGGAUGAUUCGCCGGACAGACGAAAGCUUUCUUACACUGUGCCCGGGAUAUUCCUACACUCGAUGUGUUCCUAGAAUUCCUACAUCGUAUCGUUGCCGACAAACGUAAUUAACGGUAGAAAGAAAUAAGCGAAUCCAUCACCUCGAAGCUCUUCAAAGUGCACAAUGUGUUUGCUACUGGCUUGGUCGAAGACCGGCUAACAGUGGUUGGUGUUGGUGAUUGUAAUGAGUUGUGCCA